rnacentral:Y_RNA from 1 species
UGCUGGUCCAAUGGCGGUGGGUUUUCAGAGCUUAUUAGCAUCAGUGUCGCUGAAGUUGGUAUACCACUGCUAAAUCUGACUGGGGAAAA